GACGAACGCUGGCGGCGUGCUUAACACAUGCAAGUCGAGCGGAAAGGCCCCUUCGGGGGUACUCGAGCGGCGAACGGGUGAGUAACACGUGAGUAAUCUGCCCCUGGCUUUGGGAUAGCCACCGGAAACGGUGAUUAAUACCGGAUACGACCACUUCUCGCAUGGGAUGGUGGUGGAAAGUUUUUCGGCCAGGGAUGUGCUCGCGGCCUAUCAGCUUGAUGGUGAGGUAAUGGCUCACCAUGGCUUCGGCGGGUAGCCGGCCUGAGAGGGUGACCGGUCACACUGGGACUGAGACACGGCCCAGACUCCUACGGGAGGCAGCAGUGGGGAAUAUUGGACAAUGGGCGGAAGCCUGAUCCAGCAACGCCGCGUGAGGGAUGACGGCCUUCGGGUUGUAAACCUCUUUCAGCAGGGACGAAGCGCAAGUGACGGUACCUGCAGAAGAAGCACCGGCCAACUACGUGCCAGCCGCCGCAGUAACAC
rnacentral:rRNA from 1 species